rnacentral:misc_RNA from 1 species
UUAAGUUCAGCGGGUAUCCCUACCUGAUCCGAGGUCAACCUGAAAAAAAUUGGGGGUUGAUGGCAAGCACACGACCGGACCUCCGGAGCGAGAAGAAUUACUACGCUCGGAGCCGGACGGCACCGCCACUGACUUUAGGGCCCGCCGGGGCGGCGGGGCCCAACACCAAGCUGAGCUUGAGGGGUGAUAAUGACGCUCGA